GGCGAGGGGAGUGAAAAAGAACCUGAAACCGUGUACGUACAAGCAGUGGGAGCACGCUUAGGCGUGUGACUGCGUACCUUUUGUAUAAUGGGUCAGCGACUUAUAUUCUGUAGCAAGGUUAACCGAAUAGGGGAGCCGAAGGGAAACCGAGUCUUAACUGGGCGUUAAGUUGCAGGGUAUAGACCCGAAACCCGGUGAUCUAGCCAUGGGCAGGUUGAAGGUUGGGUAACACUAACUGGAGGACCGAACCGACUAAUGUUGAAAAAUUAGCGGAUGACUUGUGGCUGGGGGUGAAAGGCCAAUCAAACCGGGAGAUAGCUGGUUCUCCCCGAAAGCUAUUUAGGUAGCGCCUCGUGAAUUCAUCUCCGGGGGUAGAGCACUGUUUCGGCAAGGGGGUCAUCCCGACUUACCAACCCGAUGCAAACUGCGAAUACCGGAGAAUGUUAUCACGGGAGACACACGGCGGGUGCUAACGUCCGUCGUGAAGAGGGAAACAACCCAGACCGCCAGCUAAGGUCCCAAAGUCAUGGUUAAGUGGGAAACGAUGUGGGAAGGCCCAGACAGCCAGGAUGUUGGCUUAGAAGCAGCCAUCAUUUAAAGAAAGCGUAAUAGCUCACUGGUCGAGUCGGCCUGCGCGGAAGAUGUAACGGGGCUAAACCAUGCACCGAAGCUGCGGCAGCGACGCUUAUGCGUUGUUGGGUAGGGGAGCGUUCUGUAAGCCUGCGAAGGUGUGCUGUGAGGCAUGCUGGAGGUAUCAGAAGUGCGAAUGCUGACAUAAGUAACGAUAAAGCGGGUGAAAAGCCCGCUCGCCGGAAGACCAAGGGUUCCUGUCCAACGUUAAUCGGGGCAGGGUGAGUCGACCCCUAAGGCGAGGCCGAAAGGCGUAGUCGAUGGGAAACAGGUUAAUAUUCCUGUACUUGGUGUUACUGCGAAGGGGGGACGGAGAAGGCUAUGUUGGCCGGGCGACGGUUGUCCCGGUUUAAGCGUGUAGGCUGGUUUUCCAGGCAAAUCCGGAAAAUCAAGGCUGAGGCGUGAUGACGAGGCACUACGGUGCUGAAGCAACAAAUGCCCUGCUUCCAGGAAAAGCCUCUAAGCAUCAGGUAACAUCAAAUCGUACCCCAAACCGACACAGGUGGUCAGGUAGAGAAUACCAAGGCGCUUGAGAGAACUCGGGUGAAGGAACUAGGCAAAAUGGUGCCGUAACU
rnacentral:rRNA from 1 species